CCCCUUAGAUGUUCUGGGCCGCACGCGCGCUACACUGACGAAUGCAACGAGCUUAUAACCUUGGCCGAAAGGUCUGGGUAAUCUCCAAAUUUCGUCGUGAUGGGGAUAGAUUAUUGCAAUUAUUAAUCUUCAACGAGGAAUGCCUAGUAAGCGCAAGUCAUCAGCUUGCGUUGAUUACGUCCCUGCCCUUUGUACACACCGCCCGUCGCUCCUACCGAUUGAAUGGUCCGGUGAAGCGUUCGGACCGUGGCCUUUGGACGGUUCGCCGUCUGUUGGCUGCGGGAAGUUCGUUAAACCUUAUCAUUUAGAGGAAGGAGAAGUCGUANCA
rnacentral:rRNA from 1 species